rnacentral:rRNA from 1 species
GUGCUAACACAUGCAGUCGAACGAGAAAGGGGCUUCGGCCCUGAGUAAAGUGGCGCACGGGUGAGUAACACGUGACUAACCUACCCUUGAGCGGGGGAUAACCUAGGGAAACCUGGGCUAAUACCGCAUAAUACCUACGGGUCAAAGCAGUAAUGCACUUAAGGAGGGGGUCGCGGCAGAUUAGCUAGUUGGUGAGGUAAUGGCUCACCAAGGCGAUGAUCUGUAUCCGGCCUGAGAGGGCGCACGGACACACUGGAACUGAAACACGGUCCAGACUCCUACGGGAGGCAGCAGUGGGGAAUUUUGCGCAAUGGGGGAAACCCUGACGCAGCAACGCCGCGUGGAGGAUGAAAUCCCUUGGGAUGUAAACUCCUUUCGAUCGGGACGAUAAUGACGGUACCGAUAGAAGAAGCCCCGGCUAACUUCGUGCCAGCAGCCGCGGUAAUACGAGGGGGGCAAGCGUUGUUCGGAAUUAUUGGGCGUAAAGGGUGCGUAGGCGGUUUGAUAAGUCUUGUUGUGAAAUCUAUGGGCUCAA